UGUUGCUUGAGCGGAUAAAGGUCAACUCAGAGUUGCUGGCUGCCAUUUCGCCUGGGAAUGGAGCUGACACAAGGACAGCAGAGCCAAGAGAUGGAGAAAGAUGCUGCCCCGUGAGAUGGGUUAAGUCCCUUGAUCCAGCUUGAGCCUGAAGCCAUCAUGUUCAAUCCCAUUAACCAAUUAGUUCCCUUUUGGUUUUAUGCAGCCAAGAGUUCCCACAGAUAUAACCUUUAUUAAUGGUGUGAUCAAGACUGUUAAAUAACCUCUCUGGGACUCAGUUUCUUCAUCUGUAAAACAGGUUGUGUUUGUCUAAGAUGAAAGGAGCAUGUGUGGUGAGCCCUGCGCCUGAUGUUAUAAAACAUCCGCUGUCAUCAAGAACACGCCCAGCUCAACUAGGCUGCUGUUUACUCAGAUACUGGAAAGUUUUCUGAGGGACACAGCUGAGCCCAGCCAUCCCCGCCCACUGCAAUAAUCCAACAAGAACGCCGAAGACCAGAAGAUGGAAUGAGUGGACAUCUCAGGUCUCGGCUCUGGGGCAGUGGUCACACAAUGGCUGUUCCGACACAGCCUCAUUGAACAGAGGCAUCAGUGCACCGACGGAACUGCUUGGAAAAUCCUUCCUCGUGAACGCAUGGGUCGUUUUGCCAAGCAGCUGUCCAGUACACAGGGUCUGUGGCUCUGUUUCUCUUGGCCCACUCUGGGGCAGGAGUGGCUUGUACAUGGGACUGGAGGACAUGACACCCUCCACCCUGGCCUCCAGCACCCGUGGCCUGCCCCGGGAGCAGAGCCUCAGACAGGAUUUGCGGGAUUCCGCCAGCCCAAGCAAGCCUCCUGGAAGAUCUGUGGAUAGGCUUCACCCCCUGGCUUGACCUCAGUGGGUUUGCCCUUUGUGAGGGAGAGGAACAAGGCUUUUAAAGACACCGGCUCAGAUGGGUUGGCCAAAAGGCUGGAGUAGGGUAGAACUCCUGUGGAAAACAGCUUGGCACUUCCUCAAAACACAGAGCUGCUCUGUUCACAAUCGCCGAAAGGUAGAAACCGCCCACACGUCCAUCAGUGGAUGAGUGGAUAAACCAAAUGUGGUCCGUCGUGCAGUGGGAUGUUAUUCGGCCACAGAAAGGAAUGAAGCUCGGACACCCGCUACAACGUGCAUGAACCUUGAAAACAUUAUGCUCCAAGAAGCCAGACCCACAAAACCCACAUAUGGUAUGUGAUUUUAUCUAUAUGAAAUGUCCAGAACAGGCAAAUCCAUAGAUUUAGGAGGGAGAUUAGUGGUUGCCAGGGGCUGGAGAGGUUAGGAGAAAUAGGGAGCGACGGCUCAUGGGCACAUGGUGUCCUUUUGGGGUGAUGGGAAUGUUCUGGAACUGGACAGAGCUGCUGGUUGCACAACAUGGGGAAUGUACUACCCGCCACUGAAUUGUUCCCUUUAAAGUGGUUAAUUUUAUGUUAUGUUUACAUGAAUUAGAAACCAAAAAGUUGGGGUGAUGCCCACGGAAGCCAGCAGGUGGGGGGGGGCGUCAUCCUUGCCAGCACAGGCAAGGCUGGGUGUUAGCAAUUCUAACAUUCAGUUCGGCUUGCAGUCAGCGGGCGGGUGCUUCUUCUUGGACAUGUACUGGCUGCCCGCAUCGCUGUCCUCUGAUUCCCUUACAUGGAAACUCUUCUCGGCUGAUGCUCCAGGAUGGGAGGAAUAUCCUUAUUUUACAAAUGAAGAAACUGAGGCACUAAGGGGUGAAGGGGAUUUUCCAAGGUCCCCCAUUGUGGCCCUUCUAGCACAUCACAGGGUUUAGGUAGAGGCUUGGGCCCUUCAUCUGUAGCAGGAGGAGCGAGCCGAUGGUAAACCUCAGCAACAGGGCCACAGUGACUCAGGAUGGUCAUCCCGUGCCGCUGACAUCUGUGAGUGGCGCAGUGUCCUGCCAUGGGUUCUCAGAGCCCCCUGGCAGGAGAUCCUACUACUUUCCCAUUUUACAAAUGAUGAGACGCAGGCUCAGAGAGGCGGGUCCCUCGCUGCAGGUCACAGUACGGCAAGGGCAUGUUAAGACAGAGUAUUCCAAACCUCAAGUUCCGCUUUGCUCUGAGCCGCCUCUGGGCAAAAAAGCAAGUCGACACGUGGAUGUUGAACUCUCGAAGCCGAAAGAAACCUCACGGCUCACGACCAGACUAAGAACUCCAGGAACUGGGGGUGGGGUGGGGUGGUGGCACUCCCCCAAGUCCAACCCGAGAAAUCUCUGGAGAAAACUGGAGCAAAGCAAAGCUCAGCUCGCGAGGGCCCCCUCCUGGGGUCUGAAGGAAGUGGCUGGGGCCAGCUGCAGAACGGAGCUGAGAUUCCUGGGAAGGUCCAAGUUCCCAGCGCCGUGAGCGUGGGCUUGGUGGGAAAUAGAAACGGCGUCUACGCAUGUGCCUGUGUGUACGUCUCUCCGCGUCUGCAUACGUGCACGUCCUUGAGCUCGCACAAGCACACGUGUGUCUCUGGGUAUGUGCAUGCAUGUGUGCCUACGUGGCUGUGCAUGUGUGCACACGUGUGUGUGUGUCUGUGGGGAGCUUCAAAGCCAGGUAAGACCAAGUGGAAAUCCUGGCGUUGAGUGUGGGUCUGGAGUCAGACUGUCCAGGGCCUCAGUUUCUCCAUUGAGAAAUGGACCAGCUUCUGCUGGUUGCGAGGAUUAGACUCCACGGGGACCAGCAACUCUCAGAUUUGUCACAGUAUACAGUCCGUGCUGUGGGCUCUGAAGUUGACGCCCGUGAUAUCCUUUGACUCUCAAAGCAAAUCCAAGGCUGAGUUUAUCGUCCAUAUUUUCAUAGACACUUAAUUUUCUGUCAUUCUAAAAUGAUACAAGCAAAGACACCAAACCACACAGAAAUGUAUGCAGUAAAUAGUGAAAAUUCCACCCACGACCCAGCCCGCUUCCCAGAGGAACAUCUGUUAAUAGGUGGGUGCGGAGUUUUCCAGAAUUUGUGACCACGCAUUUACAGAUUUGAGUUUGUAUUUCUAUUUCUAUAUAGUCCAAUAAAAUGGUGACGUAAACACUGUAGAAAAGUGGAUUUCCACUUUAUGGGGCACCCUUGACUCUAGCUCACGCCUCAUUCUCCAAUGUUACGGAUGCAGGAAAUGGAGUCCCUAGAGGGCAUGGAGCUUGCUCAAGGUCGCUUGUUGUUACACCGCCCCCCCCCCCAAGCUGAGACGGGACUAGAGUCUACCUGUCUGUCCCAAGGCGGGUCCCAACUAAGGAUGGGACUUCAGACGUUGUACACAGUUCACUUCUUCACUGUCCUUUCAUUGAACACUCCUUCGAUUCAGUACCCUGUGGAGGACGCCCCAGCCUAGGCGCGACAGAGCUGGGCGACCUUAGCUCAGGGGCUCAGGGACAGGCCUGCAGAAGCCAGAGGGGCAGCCAGGCCUCUGUCUGGAGAGAGCAGGGUGGCAAGUGGGCCUUGGAGGUUGAAUGGAGGUCCCACAGGCAUGGUGGGGACUGGGGGUAGGGUGAAGCGUCACCCCCAUUGUUGGCCAGCUGGGUGGCUUAUGAGCCUCCUCCGUACUUGACAUUCAUAAGUAGGAAAUGAUACCCAACUCUGGGGCUAAAUUGUUAAGUCUCAACCACUGGCUAGAAAGGUUGCUGC